rnacentral:rRNA from 1 species
UACGUAGGGUGCGAGCGUUGUCCGGAAUUACUGGGCGUAAAGAGCUCGUAGGUGGUUUGUCGCGUUGUUCGUGAAAACUCACAGCUCAACUGUGGGCGUGCGGGCGAUACGGGCAGACUGGAGUACUGCAGGGGAGACUGGAAUUCCUGGUGUAGCGGUGGAAUGCGCAGAUAUCAGGAGGAACACCGGUGGCGAAGGCGGGUCUCUGGGCAGUAACUGACGCUGAGGAGCGAAAGCAUGGGGAGCGAACAGG